UACGUAGGUGGCAAGCGAUACUCGGAAUCACUAGGCGUAAAGCGCAGGUAGGCGGUUCGGUAAGUCUUUUGUGAAAGCUCCUGGCUCAACUGGGAGAGGUCAAGGGAAACUGCCGGGCUAGAGUGUGGUAGGGGAUACUGGAAUUCCUGGUGUAGCGGUGAAAUGCGUAGAUAUCAGGAGGAAUACCUAUGGCGAAAGCAGGUAUCUGGGCCAUCACUGACGCUGAGCUGCGAAAGCUAGGGGAGCAAACAGG
rnacentral:rRNA from 1 species